UGCAUAUCAAUAAGCGGAGGAAAAGAAACCAACAGGGAUUGCCUUAGUAGCGGCGAGUGAAGCGGCAAGAGCUCAAAUUUGAAAUCUGGCGUAAGCCCGAGUUGUAAUUUGAAGAAGAUAUUCUUGGAAUUGGUCCUUGUCUAUGUUCCUUGGAACAGGACGUCACAGAGGGUGAGAAUCCCGUGCGACAAGGAAUUCUUUUCUUUAUAAGAUGUCUUCGAAGAGUCGAGUUGUUUGGGAAUGCAGCUCAAAGUGGGUGGUAAAUUCCAUCUAAAGCUAAAUAUUGGCGAGAGACCGAUAGCGAACAAGUACUGUGAAGGAAAGAUGAAAAGAACUUUGAAAAGAGAGUGAAAAAGUACGUGAAAUUGUUGAAAGGGAAGGGUAUUCGAUCAGACUGGUAUUUAAUUAUCGCUACUCCUUGUGGGUGGUGCUCUAAUUUCUUACUGGGCCAACAUCAGUUUUGGUGGUAAGAUAAUCGCAGUUGAAUGUGGCUCCUCGGAGUGUUAUAGCUUCUGUUGAUGUUACCUACCGGGACUGAGGUCUGCGACUUUGUCUAGGAUGUUGGCGUAAUGAUCCAAUACCGCCCGUCUUGAAACACG
rnacentral:rRNA from 2 species